rnacentral:rRNA from 1 species
UUUACGGUGAAGCGGCUCAAGAUUCUUCACUCUCCUCGGGGUGAUUGUCCACCCCUUCAUAUUGUGAAACUGUGAAUGACUCAUUAAAUUAGUUAUAGUUUGUUUGAUGGUAUGUGCUACUCAGAUAAUCAUAGAAAUUCUAGAGCUAAUACGUGCACCAAAUCCUAACUUCUGAAAGGGAUGAAUUUAUUUAUUAAAAGGUUGUUGCUGGCUCAUACCAGCUGCCCUAAUGACUCAUGAUAACUUGUUGGAUUGCACGGCCUUUGUGCCAGUAAUGCAUCAUUCAAAUAUCUGCCCUAUCAACUUUCGAUGGUAGGAUAGGGGCCUAUCAUGGUGGUGACGGGUGACGGAGAAUUAGGGUUCGAUUCCGGAGAGGGAGCCUGAGAGACGGCUACCACAUCCAAGGAAGGCAGUAGGUGUGCAAAUUACCCAAUCAUGGCAUAAGAGGUAGUGAUAAUAAAUAAUAAUAUCGGGCUCUUCGAGUAUAGUAAUUGUAAUGAGUACAAUCUAAACCCCUUAACAAGGUUCCAUUGGAGGGCAAGUCUAGUGCCAGCAGCCAUGGUAAUUUUAGCUCUUAUAUUUAAGUUGUUGUAGUUAAAAAGCUCGUAGUUGGACCAUGGGAUGGGAUGGUCAGUCAACCUCACGGUGUGCACCGCCCACUGCGUCCCUCAUGUCGGCAAUGCGUUCCUGGACUGAAUUGGCCGGAUCGUGCCUCCAACAUUAUUACUUUGAAGAAAUUAAAGUGCUCAAAGCAAGCCCACACUCUAGAUACAUUAGCAUAGGAUAACACCACAGGAUUUUACUCCUAUUGUGUUGGCCUUCGAGAUCAGUUGAAGGCAUUAUAUUUCAUUGUCAGAGGUAAAAUUCUUAAAUUUAUGAAAGAUGGACCACUGCGAAAGCAUUUGCCAAUGAUGUUUUUAUUAAUCAAGAAUAAAAGUUAGGGGCUCAAAGACGAUCAGAUACUAUCCUAGUCUCAACCAUAAAUGAUGCCGGCUAGGGAUCAGUGGAUGUUGCUUUUAAGACCCAGCUGGCACCUUGUGAGAAAUCAAAGUCUUUGGGUUCCAUGAAGGAAAGGUCGUAGCCUAUGCAUAUAUAUAUAUAUAUAUAUAUAUAUAUAUAUAUAUAUAUAUAUAUAUAUAUAUAUAUAUAUAUAUAAAAUUAAAAGUACAAACUUAAUCAGGAUCAAACUCCACAGUGUCCUAAGCUUGGAGGUCAAGUAACCUCCCGGGGAACACAUCUCCCAUAACAAAAGAAAAAUCGCCAUGACGAGCAUAAAUAGCACAAAAUAAGCCACUCAGUUUGCGCCGCACAAUCGGUGGCCAGAGAUUAUACAAGGUACAUCAAGCAAAAAGGCUAGGUGAUCAAUAUGUCUCUCUCUGUCUCGUGAACGGAGGGUCAUUUUCAAAAUCCCCUGAGUUACUGGAUAUCUCCCAGAUAGUCACUCUCAAUGAUGACACCAUCCUUAUCAGGCUCCAUGGCUGAGAGGGCCUGAUGCAAUAGAGUGAUUGUUUGUAUCUCAGCCAGUAGCGGUGACCCUACCUGCAAGCUCGCACCAACAGUAGUAAGAAACUCUCUUAUUGUUCUAGGACUACUGUAGCUCCAAAAGUAGUCGACUCUCCAUAGCUGUACACUGUGUCAGUGUUGAAUUUCAGCCAACAGGGUG